rnacentral:rRNA from 1 species
GUUCAAUCAUUCAAAGAAGUGAAGUUUAGCUAACAGAACUGCAGAAACAUAAGAAGAAAUGCAUCAGUUGUUGACAGAAGACUUGCAGAACAAACAAGUAAAUAACUAUUAUAGAGGGCAGCGGAAGACUUGCAUAAAUGAGGUGUGACACUAGAAAAGAGGAAUCUACAAAUUAAAUGUUGGUCUUAGACUAUAAUUAACACUAGAUCUCCAACUUCUAGGCUAUCGGAAGUUAUAUCAUACUGAUAUACUGUCACCACAAAGUGUCUUUAGUGUCACGUUAUAAGAGGGAAGCUAAUGACAAGUAAAA